rnacentral:tRNA from 1 species
GCGCCUGUAGCUCAACUGGAUAGAGCAACGGAUUCCGGGUCCGUGGGUUGGGGGUUCAAAUCCUCUCAGGCGCG